rnacentral:tRNA from 1 species
GGAGGUAUGGCUCAGAGGUGGAGCAUCUGCCCGGCACAUACAAUAUCCUGGGUUCAAUCCCCAGUACCACAA